ACCUGAAACCGUGUACGUACAAGCAGUGGGAGCACAGGUUUACCUGUGUGACUGCGUACCUUUUGUAUAAUGGGUCAGCGACUUAUAUUCUGUAGCAAGGUUAACCGAAUAGGGGAGCCGGAGGGAAACCGAGUCUUAAUUGGGCGUUAAGUUGCAGGGUAUAGACCCGAAACCCGGUGAUCUAGCCAUGGGCAGGUUGAAGGUUGGGUAACACUAACUGGAGGACCGAACCGACUAAUGUUGAAAAAUUAGCGGAUGACCUGUGGCUGGGGGUGAAAGGCCAAUCAAACCGGGAGAUAGCUGGUUCUCCCCGAAAGCUAUUUAGGUAGCGCCUCGUGAAUUCAUCUCCGGGGGUAGAGCACUGUUUCGGCUAGGGGGCCAUCCCGGCUUACCAACCCGAUGCAAACUGCGAAUACCGGAGAAUGUUAUCACGGGAGACACACGGCGGGUGCUAACGUCCGUCGUGAAGAGGGAAACAACCCAGACCGCCAGCUAAGGUCCCAAAGUCAUGGUUAAGUGGGAAACGAUGUGGGAAGGCCCAGACAGCCAGGAUGUUGGCUUAGAAGCAGCCAUCAUUUAAAGAAAGCGUAAUAGCUCACUGGUCGAGUCGGCCUGCGCGGAAGAUGUAACGGGGCUAAACCAU
rnacentral:rRNA from 1 species